AGAGUUUGAUCCUGGCUCAGAUUGAACGCUGGCGGCAGGCUUAACACAUGCAAGUCGAGCGGAGCGAGGGUGCUUGCACCUUAGCUUAGCGGCGGACGGGUGAGUAAUGCUUAGGAAUCUGCCUAUUAGUGGGGGACAACAUUCCGAAAGGGAUGCUAAUACCGCAUACGCCCUACGGGGGAAAGCAGGGGAUCUUCGGACCUUGCGCUAAUAGAUGAGCCUAAGUCGGAUUAGCUAGUUGGUGGGGUAAAGGCCUACCAAGGCGACGAUCUGUAGCGGGUCUGAGAGGAUGAUCCGCCACACUGGAACUGAGACACGGACCAGACUCCUACGGGAGGCAGCAGUGAGGAAUAUUGCGCAAUGGGCGAAAGCCUGAUCCAGCCAUGCCGCGUGCAGGAUGAAGGCCUUCGGGUUGUAAACUGCUUUUGUACGGAACGAAAAAGUCUUCUCUAAUAUAGGGGGCGAAUGACGGUACCGUAAGAAUAAGCACCGGCUAACUACGUGCCAGCAGCCGCGGUAAUACGUAGGGUGCGAGCGUUAAUCGGAAUUACUGGGCGUAAAGCGUGCGCAGGCGGUUAUAUAAGACAGAUGUGAAAUCCCCGGGCUCAACCUGGGAACUGCAUUAGUGACUGUAUAGCUAGAGUGCGGCAGAGGGGGAUGGAAUUCCGCGUGUAGCAGUGAAAUGCGUAGAUAUGCGGAGGAACACCGAUGGCGAAGGCAAUCCCCUGGGCCUGCACUGACGCUCAUGCACGAAAGCGUGGGGAGCAAACAGGAUUAGAUACCCUGGUAGUCCACGCCCUAAACGAUGUCAACUGGUUGUUGGGUCUUCACUGACUCAGUAACGAAGCUAACGCGUGAAGUUGACCGCCUGGGGAGUACGGCCGCAAGGUUAAAACUCAAAGGAAUUGACGGGGACCCGCACAAGCGGUGGAUGAUGUGGUUUAAUUCGAUGCAACGCGAAAAACCUUACCUGGGCUUGACAUGCUGAAGAUCGCAGAGACGCGAUUGUGCUCGAAAGAGAACCGUAACACAGGUGCUGCAUGGCUGUCGUCAGCUCGUGUCGUGAGAUGUUGGGUUAAGUCCCGCAACGAGCGCAACCCUUGCCAUUAGUUGCCAGCGGGUCAUGCCGGGGACUCUAAAGAGACUGCCGGUGUCAAACCGGAGGAAGGUGGGGAUGACGUCAAGUCCUCAUGGCCUUUAUGACCAGGGCUACACACGUACUACAAUGGCCGGUACAAAGGGCAGCAAAGCCGCGAGGUGAGCCAAUCCCAUAAAGCUUAUCUCAGUCCGGAUUGGAGUCUGCAACUCGACUCCAUGAAGUUGGAAUCGCUAGUAAUCGCGGAUCAGCAUGCCGCGGUGAAUAAGUUCCCGGGCCUUGUACACACCGCCCGUCACACCAUGGGAGUUGAUUAUACCCGACGUCGCUGGGCUAACUGGCAACAGAGGCAGGCGCCUAAGGUAUGGUCGAUGACUGGGGUGAAGUCGUAACAAGGUAACC
rnacentral:rRNA from 1 species